rnacentral:misc_RNA from 1 species
GAUGAAGAACGUAGCGAAAUGCGAUACGUAAUGUGAAUUGCAAAUUCAGUGAGUCAUCGAGUCUUUGAACGCACAUUGCGCCCCCUGGUAUUCCGGGGGGCAUGCCUGUCCGAGCGUCAUUGCUGCCCUCAAGCACGGCUUGUGUGUUGGGCCCCGUCCUCCGAUCCCGGGGGACGGGCCCGAAAGGCAGCGGCGGCACCGCGUCCGGUCCUCGAGCGUAUGGGGCUUUGUCACCCGCUCUGUAGGCCCGGCCGGCGCUUGCCGAUCAACCCAAAUUUUUAUCCAGGUUGACCUCGGAUCAGGUAGGGAUACCCGCUGAACUUAAGCAUAUCAAUAAGCGGAGGA